GUCUACGGCCAUGCCACCCUGAACGUGCCAGAUCCCGUCUGAUCUCAGAAGCGAAGCAGGGUCGGGCCUGGUUAGGACUCGGAUGGGAGACCACCCAGGAAGACCAGGUGCUGGAGGCG
ensembl:rRNA 5S_rRNA 5S ribosomal RNA